AUUGAACGCUGGCGGCAUGCCUUACACAUGCAAGUCGAACGGUAACAGGUCUUCGGAUGCUGACGAGUGGCGAACGGGUGAGUAAUACAUCGGAACGUGCCUAGUAGUGGGGGAUAACUACUCGAAAGAGUGGCUAAUACCGCAUGAGAUCUACGGAUGAAAGCAGGGGAUCGCAAGACCUUGUGCUACUAGAGCGGCCGAUGGCAGAUUAGGUAGUUGGUGGGAUAAAAGCUUACCAAGCCGACGAUCUGUAGCUGGUCUGAGAGGACGAUCAGCACACUGGGACUGAGACACGGCCCAGACUCCUACGGGAGGCAGCAGUGGGGAAUUUUGGACAAUGGGCGCAAGCCUGAUCCAGCAAUGCCGCGUGCAGGAUGAAGGCCGUCGGGUUGUAAACUGCUUUUGUACGGAACGAAAAGCCCUGGGUUAAUACCCUGGGGUCAUGACGGUACCGUAAGAAUAAGCACCGGCUAACUACGUGCCAGCCGCCGCGGUAACAC
rnacentral:rRNA from 1 species